GAUUGCGUGGCCCAAUGGUAAGGCGCUUAACUACAAUUCGUCUGAUCUCGAGAGGUUGUGAGUUCGAUCCCUACGGUAAUCA